rnacentral:rRNA from 1 species
AAAGCGUGCGCAGGCGGUUUUGUAAGUCUGACGUGAAAUCCCCGGGCUCAACCUGGGAAUUGCGUUGGAGACUGCAAGGCUGGAGUCUGGCAGAGGGGGGUAGAAUUCCACGUGUAGCAGUGAAAUGCGUAGAGAUGUGGAGGAACACCGAUGGCGAAGGCAGCCCCCUGGGUCAAGACUGACGCUCAUGCACGAAAGCGUGGGGAGCAAACAGGAUUAGAUACCCCAGU